UACAGAGGUCUCAAGCGUUGUUCGGAUUUAUUGGGCGUAAAGGGCGCGUAGGCGGCGGGGUAAGUCGGGUGUGAAAUCUCAGGGCUCAACCCUGAAACUGCACUUGAUACUGCUCUGCUUGAGGACUGGAGAGGAGACUGGAAUUCCCGGUGUAGCGGUGAAAUGCGCAGAUAUCGGGAGGAACACCGGUGGCGAAGGCGGGUCUCUGGGCCGAUACUGACGCUGAGGAGCGAAAGCGUGGGGAGCAAACAGG
rnacentral:rRNA from 1 species